UACGGGGGGGGCAAGCGUUGUUCGGAAUUACUGGGCGUAAAGGGCUCGUAGGCGGCCAACUAAGUCACACGUGAAAUCCCUCGGCUUAACCGGGGAACUGCGUGUGAUACUGGAUGGCUUGAGUUUGGGAGAGGGAUGCGGAAUUCCAGGUGUAGCGGUGAAAUGCGUAGAUAUCUGGAGGAACACCGGUGGCGAAGGCGGCAUCCUGGACCAAUACUGACGCUGAGGAGCGAAAGCCAGGGGAGCAAACGGG
rnacentral:rRNA from 1 species